AGCGAAGAGAUUCGUGUGUACGCUUCCUCUGAAAUGAGAGUGAAAGACAUUUUGCUUGGAAAGUGGCCCUUGAUCAACCCAGUUUUCUCUCACCCGCAGAGCACGAGCCCCGGACACCCAGGUCGAACGGCAGCAGCUCAGAAUGGGUCUAGAUGGCCCAUCGGAUACAACUGAUUUGGAGCUUCUGCCUUUCAUGUGUGGUCCAUGUGAUCAGGACCAGCCUGCUCACAUUACCCACCAUCAUGAGCCUCCAUCAUCUACUGCGCAUCAUAACUCGUCAGUUAUUCAUCAUAAAACUACAAUAAAUUGAAGCUGCAAGACUUA